ACGAUCCGACUCGAAAACACGCUUGAUCAGGUUUUUUGAAACUCCAAAUUCAAUUUCAUUCUAAUUGAUCAUCGAUUCAACCCUAGUAACAACCCACAAUGUCUCAUUGCUGCGAAUCUUUCGUUCGAGCAAAUUUCUUCUCUAUUUACGAAACUGAUUAGUUCUUCGCGAAUCUUGAUUACUCGAACCCUUAAAGUUUAUUUGAACGGUGUCGCAAUUUUAGGGUUUCAUAUUUCUGCAUCCCUUUCUUGAUUCGAUUUGAAAGAGAUAUGUAGAAAUGGAAAAGAAUUCUAAAAUUCUUCAUUGGAACUUCGAUAAUUCUCAAGUUUAUCAAUGUCGCUCGUAUCAAAGAUUACAUGCAGAAAGAUAAGUUCAAGGAAAAUUUCGGGAAUGACUGGCGAAAGUUGCUAGGAAGAAAUCAUGUAAUUCAGAACUUGAAAGAGUGACUUCACACCAAUCUAUGAUUGGUGCCAAAGUGAAAAGGAAAAGAAUAAAGAAGUAAGUUGGUAACUCCGUCUACAUAAUUUCAUUUCUCCAUAAUAGAAAUAGAAAUUGAUAUUCCUUGGAACUUUACUUUUUUGAGUGGGUUUGUCUAUAUGUUUCAAAUAUACACACCAAUUUGUCAAUAUGAAAAAUAUAAUAUAAUUUUGAUUUUAGCUGGUAUAUCUCUAUUUCUUACAAUAAAGUACUGCACCAAGUGAUUAUUUGAAUCAUGUGUUUAAUACAACUUUUCAAGCCAUUAUUACCUAUCAUGUUUGGCGCGACUCAUUUUAUUUUUUUGGUUUGUUUUUCACCAAUUCUCAUCAGACAUUGAAAAUCAAAUUAUUGUAAUUUGUUGCAUGAAAAAGAAGCACUAUUGAACAAUAUCAUAUUGGGAUAUAUACUGGGAUAAAGUUUUUACCAAACAUGUGGCUUGCAAUAUGAAUUCUUUAUUCAUAUGGAAUCAGGAUUGUAUACAUGGUGCCUUUGAUGCAAAAUUGAGUAUAUGUCCCUUGAUGUCCCUAAAUUGAUAUGGUCUGAAUGAAAUUUCAAUGUGAAUGCUUAUUCAUAACUUUAAAUGUAAGUGGAGAUGACCCUUGAUGCCAUUGAUGUGAAAUAUUAUAUAUGUCCUGUAUGUCCCUAAAUUGAAUAUAUGUUCCUCAAUGUCCCUAAAUUGAAUAUAUGUCCCUCAAUGUCCCAAAAUUGAAUAUAUGUCCCUCGAUGUUGCUAAUUGACGCCUAAAUGAAUGCAAUUCGAUGUCCCUAAAUUGAUGGUUUAAAUGAAUGCAAUUCGAUGUCCCUAAAUUGAUGGUUGUGUGCCAUGGUUCCUUUGAUGCGAAAUUGAGUAUAUGUCCCUUGUUGUCCCUAAAUUGAUGGUCUGAAUGGAAUUUCAAUGUGAAUGCUUAUUCAUAACUUCAAAUGUAAGUGGAGAUGACCCUUCGUGCCAUUGAUGCGAAAAAGUAUAUUUGUCCCUAGAUGUCGCUAAAUUGAAUAUAUGUCCCUUGAUGUCCAUAAAUUGAAAAGAUGUUCUUCGAUGUCCCUAAAUUGAAUUGAUGUAUAUGUCUCAUAAUUCAUUAUGAAUGCUUAGUCGCAGCUUGAAAUGUAAGUGGAGAUGACCCUUGACGCGAUGGCUAUACAUGGUUUUCCAUAAUAGUAAGUUGGGAUGAUGCAUUGAUUAUCCAGGAGUGUACUAAAUCUUUGAAUCUCGACUUUUCAUGCCUAAGAAGGCUAAUUUGGGUCCUAAGAAAUUGUGUAAUUUCUAAAAUAAUUUUAAGACAGGUUAUGGGAUGUUGUGUUUCGAUGAAUUUCUAUGCCAAAAAUGUGGAUUACAAUAUGAAUUCUUUUGUUGUGUAGCCAGUACUACACUUUGGAAUAGACAGGGCUUCGGUUUUGAUGUACUUACAGCAGCAACAUGCUCUGCAUCCACUACAAAGGUUUAUAAUUCUGCUUUGUUUUGCUGUCUAUCAUGGAGUAUAUGGGAACAACAUAUGGAAACAAGUUCUAGACUCAAGCUUUAGUCGAAAACUAUGCUCGUCAGUUACUUAAGUUGGAAUUUAGCGUAGAGACCGCAUACUGUUUCCGGUGUGAUGCGUGCAGAAACUGUGACUGCUGCAGAUCUGAUGCGGGCAGAACCUGCGAUUGCUUGAGGUCUGAUAUAGGCUGCUGCUUUGCAGAAUGCUAUCGUGGCUGGGCCUGGUAUAAAACCUAAUUUGUUGACGAAAGCACCAGGAUUAUGUUGUUCAAAGGCACCCUUUAUGCACAAGUUUAUGGUAACAAGUAACAACAUAUGGAAACAAGUGCUAGACUCGAGCAUGUGACUCAAUUACUUUAAGGAUGGAAUGUAGCGCAGAGACCACAUUCUGUUUCAGGUCUGAUGCGUGCAGAUUCUGCAUAACAUGUGACUGUGUCAGAUCUAAUGCAGGGAGAACCCACAACUGCUUGAGGUCUAAUUCGGGUUGUUGCUUUGCGGAAUGCUACUGCGGAUGGGCUAUGUGCAGAACCUAAUUUGUAGAAGAAAGCACCGGAUUUUGUUGUUCAGAAGGCAUAAUUUCAGGAGCCCU